rnacentral:rRNA from 1 species
GACGAACGCUGGCGGCGUGCCUAAUACAUGCAAGUCGAGCGAAGUUUUUCUGGUGCUUGCACUAGAAAAACUUAGCGGCGAACGGGUGAGUAACACGUAAAGAACCUGCCUCAUAGACUGGGACAACUAUUGGAAACGAUAGCUAAUACCGGAUAACAGUAUUUCUCGCAUGAGAGAUAUUUAAAAGUUGGUUAUGCUAACACUAUGAGAUGGCUUUGCGGUGCAUUAGCUAGUUGGUGGGGUAAAGGCCCACCAAGGCGACGAUGCAUAGCCGACCUGAGAGGGUGAUCGGCCACACUGGGACUGAGACACGGCCCAGCCUCCUACGGGAGGCAGCAGUAGGGAAUCUUCCGCAAUGGGCGAAAGCCUGACGGAGCAACGCCGCGUGAGUGAAGAAGGAUUUCGGUUCGUAAAGCUCUGUUGUUAGGGAAGAAUGGAUAUGUAGUAACUAUACAUGUAAGAGACGGUACCUAACCAGAAAGCCACGGCUAACUACGUG